rnacentral:rRNA from 1 species
CAGUCGCCACGGUAAUACAGAGGGUGCAAGCGUUAAUCGGAAUUACUGGGCGUAAAGCGCGCGUAGGUGGUUCGCCAAGUUGGAUGUGAAAUCCCCGGGCUCAACCUGGGAACUGCAUCCAAAACUGGCGAGCUAGAGUAUGGUAGAGGGUGGUGGAAUUUCCUGUGUAGCGGUGAAAUGCGUAGAUAUAGGAAGGAACAUCAGUGGCGAAGGCGACCACCUGGACUGAUACUGACACUAAGGUGCGAAAGCGUGGGGAGCAAACAGGAUUAGAUACCCCAGUAGUCCCUGUCUCUUAUAC